UUUGGUCGCCACGAAGGCGUGAAAAGGGAAUGCCGUGAGAGUCGGCAACAGUCCCGCUGCUGUAAGUCUCAAGAACGAGGCUCCAACGUGAAAGCCACUGUGUUGCGUCAUGCUGCAUGGGAAGGCGGGAGCCUAGCGAGAUAAGUCAGAAGACCUGCCAAAUCACA
rnacentral:ncRNA from 1 species